AGGGACCUUAGAUGUGAGCCCCGAGUACAAAGGUAAGGGGGAAGGGCAUUCCUGUAGAGGAGCAGCUAGAGGCCCUAGCUUGGCCACUGGGAGGAAGGCCAGCCGCCUGGGCGAGUCAGAUGCUGGGUUAGCAGGGAAGCAGCAUGACCUGGCUCCCCUUUCACCCAAAUGUGGAUUAAGGCUGGGGGCCCACGAAGAGGUCCUGAUUCAGUGUCUCAUGCCCUGCUCCUGGAGGGCACUCGGGAGAGGGUGGUGGAUGCAAAUAGGAGUCGCUCCUUGGAGGCACACGGAGGCUGCCCAGGGAGCCCCUCUCCCCUCAGCCACAGCCCCAGGUGAUGCCUGUGGCCUGCAUCUCUGUCCUCCGGAUGAAGGCUCCUCCAGACAAGCUGGACAGAUGUGCAGACGAGAGGCCCAGCGCUGACCUGGAUCCUGAAGCAAGAGGGACAUCCCAGAUGGGGUCCUCCCUGAGGGUGCCCGGACCUCAGGUCCCACCAGAG
rnacentral:lncRNA from 1 species